rnacentral:rRNA from 1 species
CGCAGCUGAUGCAGCACGCCGCGUGCGGGAGACAGGCCCUAGGGUUGUAACCGCUUUCAGUAGGGAAGAAAGCUGACGGGUACCUACACGCAAGAAGGUGCGGCCACACUACAUGCCAUCACGCCCGCGGCUGACAGCGUAAGCUCCGAGCGUUGUCCGGAUUUAUUGUUGCGUAAAGAGCUCAUAUGCGGUUUGGUAAGUCGGGUGUGAAAACUCAAAGGCUUAAGCCCUGACACGCCACCCCAUACUGCCACUGACUUAAGUACGGUGAGGGGAGCGGAGAAACUCCUGGUGUAGUCGAUCAAAUGCAACACAUAUCAUGGAAGAACACACAGGUGGCUAAGGAACCCCUCAUGGGCCGUAACUGACUCUCACGUAACGAAACGCGAUGGGUAGCAAACAGGAUUACAUACCCUCGUAGUCCACGCCGUACACGUUGGGCACUAAGUGUGGGUGUCAGCUAACCAGAUCCUCGCCGGACCUAACUCAUUAAGUGCCCCGCCUGGCGAGUACGGUCGGAAGACUAGCUCUCACAUGAAUUGAACUUGACGGAAACCGGGCCCUU